GCUCAACCGAGGAAGUGCUUCGAAAACAGGUAAACUUGAGUGCAGAAGAGGAAAGUGGAACUCCAUGUGUAGCGGUGGAAUGCGUAGAUAUAUGGAAGAACACCAGUGGCGAAGGCGGCUUUCUGGUCUGUAACUGACGCUGAGACUCGAAAGCAUGGGUAGCAAACAGGAUUAGAUACCCUGGUAGUCCAUGCCGUAAACGAUGAGUGCUAAGUGUUAGGGGGUUUCCGCCCCUUAGUGCUGCAGCUAACGCAUUAAGCACUCCGCCUGGGGAGUACGGUCGCAAGACUGAAACUCAAAGGAAUUGACGGGGGCCCGCACAAGCGGUGGAGCAUGUGGUUUAAUUCGAAGCAACGCGAAGAACCUUACCAGGUCUUGACAUCCUCUGACAACCCUAGAGAUAGGGCUUUCCCUUCGGGGACGGAGUGACAGGUGGUGCAUGGUUGUCGUCAGCUCGUGUCGUGAGAUGUUGGGUUAAGUCCCGCAACGAGCGCAACCCUUGAUCUUAGUUGCCAGCAUUUAGUUGGGCACUCUAAGGUGACUGCCGGUGACAAACCGGAGGAAGGUGGGGAUGACGUCAAAUCAUCAUGCCCCUUAUGACCUGGGCUACACACGUGCUACAAUGGACAGAACAAAG
rnacentral:rRNA from 1 species